CCCCCAGCGCUUCAGCCCCUGGGGCACCUCCAGGGACUACUUGCCUCGUGCGUCAGCGAGUGGCAGAGCGUCACAUAUACGCCCCCCUCCGUUUUGCCCUACUCCACUCCUCCCCUUCUUUUUCCUCCCUCUCCACCUCCCUCCCUCCCCAUCUCUUCCCACUCCUCCCUCGCUCUCCCCUAGCGUGUUCCACGCGAGCAGAGGGACCCGGCGGACCCACAGGGCUCCAGAGCACCGAAGAGCUAAAAAUAUAACGGGUGUGCUAGCAACAGCCUUCCGAUUGGUCGGGGAGCAGGGAGAGGCGGUAUCUGAUUGGGUUUCCUUUCCAACAGCUAGGAUUAAGAAUGCGGGCCAAGAACGGAGGCGCUCGGCCCAAGGGGACAGUGUGCGUUUGCGCAGUGAGGCAUUGCAAGGGAUGCUGGUAUUUGAAGUUAUUCAUUAGAGGCAACCUUGGAAAUAGAUCCACUGCUCCAGCUGGGCAGGAACAAAGACAACCACAACAAAACUGACUUUGGAGAAGUGAUUGGAUGCAGGACAAAAUGAUUUGCUAUUUAUUCACCACCAAUACGGUCUAAAUGUUGUGUGAGAUGAGGAUGUGCUCUCUGUAACUGGCUGGCUUUUGCUGAGUAUGCUGUGAAUGAACAGCAUGAAGAGGAAGAUGGAAGGACUGGAAACUACUGCCGAGUAUAUGUAAGCUAGGCGCUAUCUCAAGCAUCCUCAGAACAUUCCUGUACGGUAUGAAGUAGGCGAAGUGAUGUCUACAAUAAUCCUCAGGAACAGAAUGAAGCAUGAAGAUCCAAAGGUAUCGAUCAGUUAACAUACCACAUGCAGAGAAGUCAGACAGUAAU